rnacentral:rRNA from 1 species
ACGGGGCCCGCACAAGCGGCGGAGCAUGCGGAUUAAUUCGAUGCAACGCGAAGAACCUUACCAAGGCUUGACAUAUACGGUCUAUCCCUAGAGAUAGGGAGUGCUUCGGCGCCGUAUACAGGUGGUGCAUGGUUGUCGUCAGCUCGUGUCGUGAGAUGUUGGGUUAAGUCCCGCAACGAGCGCAACCCUCGUUCUAUGUUGCCAGCGCGUAAUGGCGGGGACUCAUAGGAGACUGCCGGGGUCAACUCGGAGGAAGGUGGGGAUGACGUCAAAUCAUCAUGCCCCUUAUGUCUUGGGCUUCACGCAUGCUACAAUGGCCGGUACAAAGGGCUGCGAUACCGCAAGGUGGAGCGAAUCCCAAAAAGCCGGUCUCAGUUCGGAUUGAGGUCUGCAACUCGACCUCAUGAAGUCGGAGUCGCUAGUAAUCGCAGAUCAGCAACGCUGCGGUGAAUACGUUCCCGGGCCUU